UACGUAGGGACCGAGCGUUGUCCGGAAUCAUUGGGCGUAAAGGGCGCGCAGGUGGCUCUGUAUGUCUGCCGUGAAAGCAUACAGCUCAACUGUAUUGUGUCGGUAGAAACUGCAGGACUUGAGGCUGGGAGGGGCUGGUGGAAUUCCCUGUGUAGCGGUGAAAUGCGUAGAGAUGGGGGAGAACACUCGUGGCGAAGGCGGCCAGCUAGACCAGUUCUGACACUGAGGCGCGACAGCGUGGGGAGCAAACAGG
rnacentral:rRNA from 1 species